CACCUCCCAGCGCCAAGUACACCCCGGCCGCCUCCUCCACUUGCCUACUCCUGGCGACGCGCGACGCGCCUAGCACGCGCCCGGCCGUUCCCCUCCUGCUACCUCCUCCUAGCGACGCACGCCGCGGUCAGGGGGCCUGUUUCCCUAGGUCCCCAACGCCGACGGUCGAUUACAGUGCCAUCUAGGUGUUGUUGCUGCAUACUUGGAUGGGAGAUUGAACAUAUGUGCCAACUUUCUUCUGUCGGCAGAGACCAAAAUGGCUGGAGAAGGAGAUGUGCCUGACAAUGAAACAGAGGGUUCUGCAAAUCCGAUCUCACGGCGGCACUCAAAAAGGGCUGCUAAGCGACAGCCGCAUGGCGAUGAUAAGGACGGGGAUGGAGAGGAUGACGAUGGUGGCGAAAGAUUC